AUGCUCUGGUUUCACUUCAGAUCGUAUAAAUCUUUCGCCUUUUACUAAAGAUUUCCGUGGAAUGGAGCACUCAGAGUUGUAAUGAAUUUUUUGUGGCCUUUGCUUUUUUUGUCGGGC